rnacentral:rRNA from 1 species
UGUGUAGGCGGAUUGGUAAGUACCUUGUGAAAUCCCACAGCUCAACUGUGGAACUGCUGGGUAUACUGCUUAUCUUGAGCCACUUAGGGGCUGUCGGAACAAAUGGUGGAGCGGUGAAAUGCGUAGAUAUCAUUUGGAACGCCAACGGUGAAACAGACAGCUGGGAGUGUGCUGACGCUGAGACACGAAAGCCAGGGGAGCGAACG